CACAGAUUCCCCCAGCUCAAAAAAAAAAAAAAGAAAAAAGAAAAGAAAAAAAAGUCAGUCCAUUUCGUUCGAUGAUAGAACAGUACUGUGUUUUGCGACUAACAGUAUAAUCUCACAGAGGGAGAACAUGCUAUUGAGAGUUCAGACCCGAGUCCUGAUGUUUCAAUACAUGCAAAGGACCAUACUGUUUUUCCGUGAUGCUGAGGCCUUCUGGAGUAGUCCACCAUCUGCAAGACUGCUAACAGAUCAACUGCUUUUGAAGCCCAGGAAAAAAAGAACUUGGACAAACAAGACUCCAACCAUUUUGAUCUACUACAAUCUGAAUUGUGUGAGUAGCUGCUCUUUUAUGCAACAUUUCAGCACUCUCAGAGUCAGAAAUGGAAGACUCAAAGCCAUGAGAAAUUGAAUUCUUAAUAACAUCAAGUUUAUGUGAAUUCCCAAAGAUCGUCAUUUCACAUGAGAUGGAGGAAGGUUCACAGGAUUGCUUAAAGCAUAGAGAAGAGAGUGAAGUUUGCUAUCCUGGCUGUUGCAGCAACGAUGACAGACCCUGUCAGAGAGAAAUUAUUUUGCAGUACUAAGCUUUGGCCUUUGCUGGGGUGACUCAAAUGUGACAGAGGUUUUGUUCCACCUGGAGCCCCAACGUUAAAGUAACAUAUUGUUCAAAGCAGUGGUGCUCUGUGACAAGUGUGUCUCUGGAGACAGUGAGGACAUGCGAGAUGCUGACAAAAUGGCGCUAAAGACUUCAUCUUCCUUCAGAGGCCAGUCCUUCCUGUCCAAAAUCAUCAAAUCACUACCUGGCUGCCUCUUCCAUUUGGAAUUCACAUGUAUUUAUAUGUGCGAUGAAAUACGUGCCAAAAGCUCCUGUCAAAUCAGCAUGAAGAUA